GUCCAUAGAAAUUCACUAGCGCAUGUAAUUCACAAGCUGAGCCAUGCACUGUAUUCAGUGCAGACCGAAGUCCCGAGUGUGGGUCCUCAGCACCUAUGUAAGAGCCAAGCAUGCAGGCCUGUACUUGUAGUCUCAGUGCUGGGGAGUGGUGGGAGGAGAGAGAAACCCUGUGCCAGGAAACAGGAUGGAGAGCGAUUGAGGCAGACUUGGAUCUUUGGCAUGAAGCACACACAUUGUGUGCACACACAAACAUACUGGCAUCAGGAAAGAGAGGGAGAAAGAGAAGGUGUUAUUUCAGUUUAAUAGAGAAAAUGGUUACUCAAUAAAUGAACACAACUGCUUAUUUGCUUGAGAUGAAAUACAUUGGGCCAUUCUGCUCAUGACAUAUCCACAAAG
rnacentral:lncRNA from 1 species